CGGCCGACUCCCAGACCCGACAGAAAGUCCGCCCCCUCGCUCCGGGUUCUGCCCCUGCUGCUCGCUGCAGGUCCGGGUUCUGCCCCUGCUGCUCACUGCAGGUGGUGUUUUUCCUCCUUUCAGACGUCUCCGGAGCAGACGGCACGAUCGAAUGGAACCGCCCGAUAUUUCGCGCCCACUCCCUCACCCUGACAUCCUUCCUGGGGGAUUGGGGAACCAUUUGCGGGUUCCGCAGGGUUCCGCAGGACGGGAUUAGCUUCAGGGAACAGGCGGUGUGGCCACCAGAAAGUGCUACGUUAAACGUCGCUGUACUAACAUAUUAACUAGAGCCAGAAGAGGAGGCAGUGUGUGGUAGCUGCUGUUUGGGUCUGCUCCGUGCCUGUGCGUGACAAUGCCAGAAUGCACAUAAAGCACUUUAUACGUGCCUUGUGCCGCACACAGGCCCAGUUGUCGAGCGUACGUUCCUCACGUAAUUACAGUUCCUCUCCCUGGUCUUCCGUCUGUCCUCAGGGAGGGGCACGUUGUUCUGCGGACGCUUCCCGUAAGUGAGGAGUCAGCAUCUGCGUCCAGCCCUCCCCGGGCACGGAAAAUAUGCCUGUGAAGUUCUCCUCAUUCCUUGUGAAUUAUUUUGUCAGUUUCAUUCGCUACCUCGGCUGAGAAUAGGUCCUUUUAAAAACUAACAGCCGGACCCUCAGAGCUCCGCUGGGCGAUGGCGGUGUCAGUCCUCGUGCCUCGGUGGGGGGCCGCACUCAGAAGCUGGAUGCCCUGCUAGUGUCUGUAUCCUCUGCACAUUACCUCACCCCCACCCCCUCCCCCAACAUCCAUAGUUCGCUAAGUGACAGGAUUCCUUGGUGCUGCAUUCAGAUCCUCCCCUUGAAUUUCCUCAGACGGCCGGCGGAAUGUUCCGGAUGGUGCCGGCACAUUAGCGACGGCGGGCAGACACAGUGCUGGGGAGCAGCGAGACUGUCUCUGUGGGGAAAAAUGGGAACCAAUUAUAAGCUGUUGCCGCCCCUCGCCCGCCUGGUCGUUAAGGACUGAUGAAUAUGUAUGUUGGAAGGGGAGGCGGUGGUUGGAAUUGGGUCAGGCUGGGUGUCGGACGACGUGCUCCUUGUUAGCUGAAGCGGAGCACGCUGUGACAGGAGACCAGCCUCCCUUGCCCAGCGGCUGCAUGGGCCCCCCCGUGGCAUUGUGGGACAGAACAUCCGCAGAUUUACAGCUGUCCGCUUCCCCGGCUAAUGUGCGCGCUUCCUGUGAGCCCGGAGAUUUACAGCGGUGUGCGGCCGCGAUGGGGAGGUUUGCAUUGCAGCAAGGAUGCCUAAUCUAACGUCAACAUAAACACCGGGCCUGCAUUCAGGAAAGCAGUAGAUUGUCGUCUAACGCAUUGGUCUAUAUUUGUACUUAUACUGUACUUGUGUGCGGGCGUGUGUAUGAAUUUUUAUUUUCUUUUAUUUCUUUUAUUUAAUUUAAUUCUAUUUUGUUUUGUAAAAACACAUUCGACUCUACGUACUGCCAGAGUUUCAUAACUCAAGGACUAAUAAAGUCGUAUAAAAGCAUAAUGCUCAUUGGAAAAUGGAAAUUUCGAGCUGCGUUUUAUGCUCUUCCUGAGAAUUCCGUUUUUUGUGUACAACAGUGAUUAUUACAGUCAAGUGUAAUUAUUGGUGCCAAGGUAAAACCUUAUAUCUCUAAACAUGCCAUUUUCAAUAACAACCUAAAAUUAUUCUUUCCAUUGUCCAAACUAGCAGUGUGGUUUAUUAUGUGGUGUUUCAACUCGACGUUUUAUUAAUUUUGUGAUAAAACACUGACUGUAAACAGAGCUGGAUGAGGACUGCACGUGUUUUAUUUCAAAGAUGACGGUUUUUAACGGCGCUGAAUGUGUACUGUACUUCUCCUAUAAGUAUUGCGACCGUUUGCUGGGUUUCGCUCUGCGGUGAGAAGGAUAUUAAUAACUGCGCCAUUCCCAUGAGACGGCCAUCUUAAGUAGGGAGGCGUGACAAGACUAAUGAACAGGUCAGGUGUGUGCGUCUCAGUGAAAUUUACAAUACAGGAUGCGUGAUUUUAUUUUAUUUAUUUUUUCCGACCACCAUCUUGAUCCUUUAAUCAGACCCCGUAUGGUUAAUAUGGUAAUGUACACGCUAUGGAACAUUCUGGCACAUUUUAUAUCCAGAUUUAUACCUGGCACCGUUCCCUCUCGCCUUGGAGAUUUGAGAGGCAUCUCUAAGCUUUAUAGUUCGAGGGAGGGUUUUGCAACCCAGGUAUAUGAGGAGUUAUUGCAACCAGGAGAGGCGACAUUAAUCACAACUCUCUUGAUAUGUCAGGUGUAACUGGAGGAUUAUAUAUUGUGCUAGUUACUUUGAGUAAAAUUGCAAGACGUGGGAAAUAUUGGAGUUAUUCUUGCUUGCUUGUUGGUAUCUGGGAUUGUGUUAGUAGGAGUAUGCGCGCACACAAACACACACACACACACACACACACACACCAGGCCUGGGUCAAAUGCUAAUACAGAAAUACUGGAACCCUUUAGACAAAUUGAAGUUUCUGCAGAUUGCUGAUUACAUCUGUUUUCACCAAUAUCGAGAAACAGAAUGACCUAUGAUUUGUUUUUGGUCAGUAAUGUGUUUUCAUAAAAGUUCUUGGAGACUUUUACCACCACCUAAAACGUUAACACAUUUUCAGUAAAAACUAAAUGUACAAGAAUGUCAAAUAAUUAUAAUAAUUACUGCGGAAUAUUGGUAAAAAUAUGUUUCAUUUCGUUCAGUAAUCACACAGUUUCACAGGGGGGAAUAGGUUAAUGAAUUUCCGAAAAAUGAUUUGAUCCAGGCGCUGCACUGGCCCAACCCUGGUCUACUCCAGUCAACACACAUUGUCCCCAGAGCUUUUUCCUUAUUGUUUUUCUGACUCAGUUAAGCCACAGUUCUUUUUACAGUUAGAGCUGACCAGUCACCAUGCUAUCAGUACCAUACAAUAUCACUUCAUUCUUUCCUCUACGGGUUUGGCUGAACAGGGAGCACAAACACAUUUGCAAACUCAAUACAUUACCUUUUAACACAUUUGGAUACAGCUCGCUAUAGCAUUUUAAGUUAAAGCAUGUCACACGACCGUUUCCUUGGCGAUGUCCUCGCUGGAUCAACCAGCAGUGCUUUGAGCAGUGACUCCAGACUGGCCCUUGAGGUCAAAGUCUAAUAUUGACAUAAAUACGCUGAUGGAAGGGGGGGGUCAGCAGUGGUUUCUUUGUACUGUAGGGCUCAGGGAUGAGGCACGGAUAUACUUGGGUGCCUUGUGGAUGUGUGUGUGUGUGUGUGUGUAUGUGGGGGGGGGGGUGUCAUGGAACCUACUCAUGACAGUUUCGCUCAAACGACUCAUUCAUCUCCAAGGUGGCACUGUUGAUAGAGGCAGUUUGAUGCGUGCUGACAGACAGGUCCCAUAACGGGGGGUUGGGAUUGAGCUCUGUAGCUGCUCACGUGGCCUCGCCAAUACGCCCUAUCUUUAGAAGCCUUAGAAAAGCGGCCUGCGGGUGCAUUCAUGCCGGCUUCCCGCCUGCUGUGUGCGUUCUCCCACAGCCUCUCAGUCAGGGCCGUGGGGAAGGUCGGUUGUAGUUUUAACCCCCCUCGGUAGUACCUGGCAGCGGAAACCAUGACUGUAUACAUAGGGUAUGUUUCUGACUGUGGCGAGUAUAUUUAGCCGUGUGUGGGCAUGUGUAUACAUGCGUCGAUUCUCUACUAGUCCCGGGUCACGGAACACUUUAGAUGCCUGUAAAGUUUAAAAACAGAUCCCUUAGAAUUUCCUGGUUCAAUAAAACCUUACAAACAUCUUAUUAUAUUUUGUAAUUUUGUACUGAAUAUUAUCUGAAAGUUUUGAAAAUAUAUGUUUUAUCAAUGGAGUAAUCUGCAGUUAUCUUGCUGGUAUCUGAAGUUUUAAAGCAUUUAAAGUGCUUUCCCCUUUGGUCAUAGAGGAGGGAGUGUGGGUCUGUUUUUAUUGGGGAGAUGGUCCUCAGGGAAAUUAUUUUUAAAACGGUUGUUGGUUUGACUGGCGGUACUGUCUCCUCCCUCCUUACAGGGCCCCAGUAAUGAGAUUGUAAUCAUUGUUAUUUUAUGAUGCGUUGCUUGAGCUAAGGCUAGAGGCUCAUCCACACCAAGAACUAUAACUAUAACAAUAACUAUGACCAUAACUAUGUGAGCAUCCGCGCUGAUGAACGAUAACUUUCUGUAGAGUCCCACGGCUUGUUAUCUGCCAUUUUGCCAGUAGUGACACCCUAUUGGAUUUUGAUUGGCUAUCAGUGUUUUAUCGUUCAUGCAGGUAGAAAUCGCUCUGAAACUGGUCCCAGCGACCAGUUCGUCACUGUCGUUUUAGUCGUGGUGUGGACACUGCCAUCCACUUGAGUUCAGGAUUUCAGAUUUAUCGGGGCGGCCUGUAGCGUAAUGUUUAAGGCACAUGACUGGGACCCACAAGGUCGGUGGUUCGAUCCCCGGUGUAGCCACAAUAAGAUCCGCCCAGCCGUUGGGCCCUUGCGCAAAACCCUUAACCGUGCAUUGCUCCAGGGGAGGAUUGUCUCCUGCUUAGUCUAAUCAACUGUAAGUCGCUUUGGAUAAAAGCGCCAGCCGAAUGCACUGUAAUGUGGUUAUAGGUGUUAUCGUUCUUGGUGUGGAUGGGCUUUAAGUUCACUCCUCCGAUCUUGUGGAAGCAGGCGCUCCGUCACUGCCUGUUUUCUCGAUCGCCUCAUUCCUCAUUCCUGGUCCGUAAGGCGCGGUGGGAUAAGAGGCUGUGCGGUAUCUCGUCUGAGAAGCUCUCUCUCCCGUCGCCAUAGCGAGGCCGCUCUCCCUCUCUCUCUCUCUCUCUGAGGCCCCGACUCUCUCCCUCUCUCAGAGCCGGUGACCCGCGACCUCUCUGGAACACACCUCUGCCUUAUCUGGCCUCUCCUGUGGGUAUCGCUCCCAAUAAUAAACAGGGAAGGGAAAGGCCUGCUUCCGCUGGCAGUUAUGAGGUCAUGGCCGGUCUGUUCAUCCCGGGGAUACGCGCAAAUGCCGUUCUCUUGAGAGAGAGAGUGAAAGUAAUGAAAAAUCUAACACCGCCACUUCUGGCCUUUCCAAAAUGUGGAACCGUCCACUUGUUCCGAACGUUUUUACUUGAAGUGCGAGGAUAAAAGUUUUUGAGAAUCAUACCUACUUCAUAACCCCUUUCUGAGGGAAAAGACUGGUGAAUGGUGAAUUUUAUGUGCACCUUCAGACACAUCCUUGACAAUGGGUUUAGUUUUAGUUUUCUUAAACUAUUUCAGCUACUCAAAGUAGUCAUAGCAUAUGACUUGUGUCUUAUACUUGCUUGCACUUUAAUAACACUAUACUUUCGUAACAAUCUAUAAAAUAUGCAGCCAUUAAUUAACUCUCUUUGCCCUGACUGACCAGAUGUUGAGUUAUUACAGCUUUUAGAUUUACUUUUUCAAAAGUUCAUCAUUAUUUUAUUUUAUUGUUUUUACCUCAAACAAACAGUUGUCUGUCUGACAAUUCCUUGGUGGUCCUCAGCAGCUGUUGAAGUGAAGAGUACUGAGGAAAUGGAAGUCCCUCUCGAUGUGUAUAUAGAAAUGUGUACUGUACUUCUUGCCUGUACGGUUCUGCCCUACUGCCAUUCUGGAGCAUUUCUGGAGAUGGUGAGCUGGACACCUCAUUUCAACGGACCAGAGGGACAGCCUGUAGCCCAGUGGCUAAGGUACAUGACUGGGGCAGCCUGUAGCCCAGUGGCUAAGGUACAUGAGUGGGGCAGUAUGUAGCCUAGUGGCUAAGGUACAUGACUGGGGCAGCCUGUAGCCUAGUGGCUAAGGUACAUGACUGGGGCAGCCUGUAGCCUAGUGGCUAAGGUACAUGACUGGGGCAGCCUGUAGCCUAGUGGCUAAGGUACAUGACUGGGGCAGCCUGUAGCCUAGUGGCUAAGGUACAUGACUGGGGCAGCCUGUAGCCUAGUGAUUAAGGUACAUGACUGGGGCAGCCUGUAGCCUAGUGGCUGGGACCCGGAAGGUUGGUGGUUCAGGCCCCGGUGUAGCUGUUGGGCCCUUGAGCAAGGCUUUUAACCCCGCGGGUUAACUCCAGGGGGGAUUGUCCCCUGCUUAGUCUAAUCAACUGUUAGUUGCUUUGGAUAAAAGCGUCAGCUAAAUAUCGAGUUAUUAUUACUAUUAUUAACAGACCUACAGAACAUCCACAGUGCUGUGCACUGCUGGGGCUCUCUGUGCCUUUUCACAUGUUUAUUUCAGGAGCAGAUAUGUAAAUAUGUGUACACUUCUUUUUUUUUAUGUGCAUGUGACCAAACUCGUUGUAAAAUACUCGAUUGUACAUAUUGUAAAAAGCUGCUUUAUUUAAGGAUGGGUCCAUUGUCUCCUGCAAAUUAAAAUCGUGAAUCAGAAACGA